CAGCCAUCGAGAUGCGAAGUUUUCUAGGCCUAACAGGUUAUUACAGGCACUUUGUAUAGAUCUUCUCCAGGAUAGUAACUCCUCUGACACGGUUGACUCGAAAGAAUGUCCUAUUUUUCUGGUUAGUUGAGUGUGAGAAAAGCUUUUAAAAGCUUAAGGACUAUUUAAUUUCAGCUCCUAUGUUAACUUUGCCUGUGAGUGGAGAAGGG
rnacentral:misc_RNA from 1 species